rnacentral:rRNA from 1 species
UACGAAGGGGGCUAGCGUUGCUCGGAAUUACUGGGCGUAAAGCGUGCGUAGGUGGUUUUUUAAGUCCGUUGUGAAAGCCCUGGGCUCAACCUGGGAAUGGCAGUGGAUACUGGAAAGCUAGAGUGCGGUAGAGGGUAGUGGAAUUCCCGGUGUAGCAGUGAAAUGCGUAGAGAUCGGGAGGAACACCAGUGGCGAAGGCGGCUACCUGGACCAGCACUGACACUGAGGCACGAAAGCGUGGGGAGCAAACAGG